rnacentral:rRNA from 1 species
GACGAACGCUGGCGGCGUGCCUAAUACAUGCAAGUCGAGCGAGGCUUCUUCGGAAGCCUAGCGGCGAACGGGUGAGUAACACGUGGGCAACCUGCCCUCAAGCCUGGGAUAACUCCGGGAAACCGGUGCUAAUACCAGAUAAUCUUUUCUCUUGCAUGAGAGAAAAGUAAAAGUUUUUCGCUUGAGGAUGGGCCCGCGGUGCAUUAGCUUGUUGGUGGGGUAACGGCCUACCAAGGCGACGAUGCAUAGCCGACCUGAGAGGGUGACCGGCCACACUGGGACUGAGACACGGCACAGACUCCUACGGGAGGCAGAAGUAGGGAAUCUUCCGCAAUGGACGAAAGUCUGACGGAGCAACGCCGCGUGAGUGAUGAAGGCUUUCGGGUCGUAAAACUCUGUUGUUAGGGAAGAACAAGUGCUAGUUGAAUAAGCUGACACCUUGACGGUACCUAACCAGAAAGCCACGGCUAACUACGUGCCAGCCGCCGCAGUAACAC